GACGAACGCUGGCGGCGUGCUUAACACAUGCAAGUCGAACGGAAAGGCCCUGCUUUUGUGGGGUGCUCGAGUGGCGAACGGGUGAGUAACACGUGAGUAACCUGCCCUUGACUUUGGGAUAACUUCAGGAAACUGGGGCUAAUACCGGAUAGGAGCUCCUGCUGCAUGGUGGGGGUUGGAAAGUUUCGGCGGUUGGGGAUGGACUCGCGGCUUAUCAGCUUGUUGGUGGGGUAGUGGCUUACCAAGGCUUUGACGGGUAGCCGGCCUGAGAGGGUGACCGGCCAAAUGGGGUCUGGGAUACGGCCCAGACCCGUAGGGGGGGGAGGAGGGGGGAAUUUUGAAAAAGGGGGGGAAGCCUGAUGCAGAAACGCCGGGGGGGGGAAGACGGCUUUGGGGUUGUAAACCGCUUUCGCCUGUGACGAAGGGUGGGUGGCGGUAAUGGGUAAAGAAGCACCGGCUAACUACGU
rnacentral:rRNA from 1 species